AUCUCGGCUCUCGCAUCGAUGAAGAACGUAGCGAAAUGCGAUACUUGGUGUGAAUUGCAGAAUCCCGUGAACCAUCGAGUCUUUGAACGCAAGUUGCGCCCGAAGCCAUUAGGUCGAGGGCACGUCUGCCUGGGCGUCACGCAUCGCGUCGCCCCCGCACA
rnacentral:rRNA from 2 species